AGCCAGCUCACUUUGCUUUCAACUUCCAAGUCCACUGAAAGUUUCCAGUCCCGGGAUUUUAGGAAGAAGAAAGAAGAUACUAGACAUUUCUGUGAAGAAUCAGACACUUAAAGAGGUUAAGUCGCGUACCUGAAGUUACACUGGGGAGACCAGGAGCAAACUUGCAUCUGUCUGACCUCAAAGCCCUGCUUCUAAGCAGCCAGGGAGCAGUGGGAUCCAGUGCAGAGAUGGGGAGGAGGGGCUCUGCCACUCCCAGCCUGGGAAUGAAGUGGAGCCAAUGGCAAGAGCUUCCCUAGGGCUGGGUCAAACCUCCCUGCUCCAGGCAUGAAGAGAAAGGAAAAGGCUGCUCCAGGUGGGGGAAGUCUGGUCCAGCUCCUUGUUAAAGAAGAAACAGGAAAAUACAGCAACAGGGGGAAGUCACAGGGGAACUGACAUUUUGUCAAAAGAUGAUGGGUUUCUGGCUCUCUCCUGCUUUCCAACUUUCCCUGGAUCCCCACUGCCUACAGGUCUCCACUUUAAGCUCCACCACCCAGCAUCCAGCACUGUCCAGGACCCAGCCUCUCCUCCCACUUCAGCUGCUCUGCCACCAGACUGCCCCUUGUGCC
rnacentral:lncRNA from 1 species